rnacentral:misc_RNA from 1 species
UGGCUCUCGCAUCGAUGAAGAACGCAGCGAAAUGCGAUAAGUAAUGUGAAUUGCAGAUUUUCAGUGAAUCAUCGAAUCUUUGAACGCACCUUGCGCUCCUUGGUAUUCCGAGGAGCAUGCCUGUUUGAGUGUCAUUAAAUUCUCAACCCCCAUCAACUUGGCGGCUUGGACUUGGAGUGUGCUGGUCCCUGAGGGGGUCGGCUCCUCUUUAAAUGCAUCAGCAGAGUCAUCUUUGACUUUCAGAUCAUCAGUGUGAUAAUUGUGUUGCGCUGCUUUCUCUGGGUCUCAGUCUGCUCAUCAUCGUCUUUUGGACAACAUACCAAAUUUUGACCUCAAAUCAGGUAGGACUACCCGCUGA